rnacentral:rRNA from 1 species
UACGUAGGUGGCAAGCGUUGUCCGGAUUUAUUGGGUUUAAAGGGUGCGUAGGCGGCUUUGUAAGUCAGUGGUGAAAUACUCUAGCUUAACUAGAGGGGUGCCAUUGAUACUGCAGGGCUUGAGUACAGAUGAGGUAGGCGGAAUGUGUCAUGUAGCGGUGAAAUGCAUAGAGAUGACAUAGAACACCAAUUGCGAAGGCAGCUGGCUACACGGUAAUUGACACUGAGGCACGAAAGCGUGGGGAGCAAACAGG